AGAGACGAUGAUGAUAUGGUGCGAGAGAAACUAGACCAUCAAUGGCCCCUCCUCCAGAACUUUUGAUCUCAUGGUAAAACUCUAGCUCUGCAGCUUUAUAUUUGCAGAAUGCAUACAUGAACUUGUGAAGACGGCACGUUUUGAUUUCGCCGUUGAGAUAAAUCUUACCAGCCAUGACCAAGUUUCUGUUUACAAGAUCAGACAAAGUCUGCUCCGCGGCUUCCUCCGGGGUGGCACUCCGAUUAUCUUGUAUCAAUCUCUCGGCAAUCCACAAGCGAGUCACUGUCGAGGCAGGGAUCUCGUAAUCUUGAGGAAACACUCCCAAAUACAGGAAGCAAUCUUGCAAUUGUUGAGUUAACGCAGUGUACUUCAGCUCUGUGCUCGUGAAUAUACGUCGCUGGUCAUGAUCUGUGACAUGCACCAUCACAUUCUCAGACACCUUCUUCCACCACUGCUCGUUGAGAUACUCGGCUGCUGCUGCUGCUGCUGAGGACGCGACCCCAAGCCUCGCCCCAACUGCAGCAAUUGCAAGUGGCAAUCCACCACAGUUUUGGGCUAUAGCUCUGCCAGCGGAUCUCAAUGUCUCAGGGCACACGCCGAGCCUGCCAAAUACUUCCCGCUGGAGUAACUCCCAACUUUCCUCGUCAUUUCGGAAUCUCAGCCUCAUCACAUGCGGCUCCCUCAUAACAUAAGCAUUGCAAGUGGUGAUCAGGACUUUACCACACUUUGGCAACAAGAGCAUGAUAUUGCUCAAGGACGCGUCGGUCCAUACGUCAUCCAGGACUAACAAGAAUUUGCUCAUCUUCAGACAGGCUCGAACUCCAUCGAUUAACUGAUCAUCGCUAAUCUUGCCACUUUCAGCAAAUGCAUCGAGAAAAUGAAGAUAUGACUCCACGCUGCAGGUCACUGAAGGCAUAGAUAGCUGGAUCCUUACNGCAUGAUAUUGCUCAAGGACACGUCGGUCCAUACGUCAUCCAGGACUAACAAGAAUUUGCUCAUCUUCAGACAGGCUCGAACUCCAUCGAUUAACUGAUCAUCGCUAAUCUUGCCACUUUCAGCAAAUGCAUCGAGAAAAUGAAGAUAUGAUUCCACGCUGCAGGUCACUGAAGGCAUAGAUAGCUGGGUCCUUACAUCCUCAUAACCAGCCACGCCCUGUUUGAUAUAUUCUUUAAUGAUGUUGAGAUACAAAUCCCUGC
rnacentral:lncRNA from 1 species